UCCUACGGGGGGCAGCAGUGGGGAAUAUUGCACAAUGGGGGAAACCCUGACGCAGCGACGCCGCGUGAGCGAUGAAGUAUUUCGGUAUGUAAAGCUCUAUCAGCAGGGAAGAAAAUGACGGUACCUGACUAAGAAGCCCCGGCUAACUACGUGCCAGCAGCCGCGGUAAUACGUAGGGGGCAAGCGUUAUCCGGAUUUACUGGGUGUAAAGGGAGCGUGGACGGUCCUGCAAGCCAGAUGUGAAAGCCCGGGGCUCAACCCCGGGACUGCAUUUGGAACUGAAAGGCUAGCGUGUCGGAGAGGCA
rnacentral:rRNA from 1 species